GACGAAGGAUGCAAGCGUUAUCCGGAUUCAUUGGGUUUAAAGGGAGCGUAGGUGGCCUUAUAAGUCAGUGGUGAAAUCUUCGAGCUUAACUCGGAAAUUGCCAUUGAUACUGUAGGGUUUGAGUAUAGUUGCCGUUGGCGGAAUAUGACAUGUAGUGGUGAAAUACAUAGAGAUGUCAUAGAACACCGAUUGCGAAGGCAGCUGACGAAACUAUAACUGACACUGAGGCUCGAAAGUGCGGGGAUCAAACAGG
rnacentral:rRNA from 1 species